UACGAAGGGGGCUAGCGUUGCUCGGAAUCACUGGGCGUAAAGCGCACGUAGGCGGACUCUUAAGUCGGUGGUGAAAUCCUGGAGCUCAACUCCAGAACUGCCUUCGAUACUGGGAGUCUCGAGUUCGGGAGAGGUGAGUGGAACUGCGAGUGUAGCGGUGAAAUGCGUAGAUAUCCGGAGGAACACCGGUGGCGAAGGCGGCUUCCUGGACAGACACUGACGCUGAGGCGCGAAAGCUAGGGGAGCAAACGGG
rnacentral:rRNA from 1 species